rnacentral:rRNA from 1 species
AGCUCCAAUAGCGUAUAUUAAAGUUGUUGCGGUUAAAAAGCUCGUAGUUGGAUUUCUGUCAGUGAGUGGUGCUCCGCCCCUUGUGGUGAGUAGUCAUCAUGCCGCUGGCAUCUUCUUGGGGAGCAUGUCUGCACUUCACUGUGUGGUAUGCAAGCCAGGACUUUUACUUUGAGGAAAUGAGAGUGUUUCAAGCAGGCGUGCGCCGUGAAUACGUUAGCAUGGAAUAAUAGCAUCGGACCUCGCUCCAAAGCUGUUGGUUUCUUGGGUCGA